UACGGGGGGAGCAAGCGUUGUUCGGAUUUACUGGGCGUAAAGGGCGCGUAGGCGGUCAGCACAAGUCAGUUGUGAAAUCUCCGGGCUUAACCCAGAAAGGUCAACUGAUACUGCGGGGCUAGAGUGCAGAAGGGGCAACUGGAAUUCUCGGUGUAGCGGUGAAAUGCGUAGAUAUCGAGAGGAACACCUGCGGCGAAGGCGGGUCUCUGGGCCGAUACUGACGCUGAGGAGCGAAAGCGUGGGGAGCGAACAGG
rnacentral:rRNA from 1 species